rnacentral:rRNA from 1 species
UACGUAGGGUGCGAGCGUUGUCCGGAAUUAUUGGGCGUAAAGGGCUCGUAGGCGGUUUGUCACGUCGGGAGUGAAAACUCGGGGCUCAACCCCGAGCCUGCUUCCGAUACGGGCAGACUAGAGGUAUGCAGGGGAGAAUGGAAUUCCUGGUGUAGCGGUGAAAUGCGCAGAUAUCAGGAGGAACACCGGUGGCGAAGGCGGUUCUCUGGGCAUUACCUGACGCUGAGGCACGAAAGCCAGGGGAGCAAACGGG